rnacentral:lncRNA from 1 species
AGACCAGAGGAACCAGAGAGAGCAGCAGUGAGUACUGCUCCAGAGGUUCAGAACCUGCAAAGUCAGUCAGUCCAGAUAGCCAGAGGUGAGUGGAACUAAACUUAUGACUUUUAAUUGAACUACAAACUGCUUUUAGCAUAUCUCAUGCAUCAUGUUUAUGCCAUAGGUUGAUUGCAUUAGUCACGAAUAUGUUGCAUUGCAUUGUUAUUUGGUGAUGUGAGUGAAUGCUGAAUGAUCCAAUAGUCUCAGACAGGAAGUCCAGGAGCCUUUGACUACGCCCUGGCAGGUAUAGUGAAGUCCAGGAGCCUUUGACUACGCCCUGGCAGGUAUAUAUAUAGUAAAGUCCAGGAGCCUUUGACUACGCCCUGGCAAUGGUAAGUACACAGGUGUUAUAUACACAUAUACAUAUAUGACAGGAAGUCCAGGAGCCUUUGACUACGCCCUGGCACAGAGUUACUGGGACUAUGUGGUGACAGGUUUACUCUUGAUGUGGCUUGUCUGUGAUAUGGUGCAUUCCAUGAAAUCAUAUUUUACUGAGAUGUUUUACUGUUCUACUCACUGGGCUAUAGAGCUCAUCCCACUCCCUUAACCCCAGUUUUGCAGGUUCAGUGUACAGUGUACAGGGACAGUCCAGCAGAGUACAGGAAAAGUGAAGAGAUCUGUAAUAGCUUAGAGUGGACAUGUAAUAUUAAAGAGAUGUAAUAGUUGUUGCUUGACCUAGACCUAGUGAUGUAUGUUUUGUACAUGAU